GAUGAACGCUGGCGGCGUGCCUAAUACAUGCAAGUCGAGCGAAUGGAUUAAGAGCUUGCUCUUAUGAAGUUAGCGGCGGACGGGUGAGUAACACGUGGGUAACCUGCCCAUAAGACUGGGAUAACUCCGGGAAACCGGGGCUAAUACCGGAUACCAUUUUGAACCGCAUGGUUCGAAAUUGAAAGGCGGCUUCGGCUGUCACUUAUGGAUGGACCCGCGUCGCAUUGGCUAGUUGGUGAGGUAACGGCUCACCAAGGCAACGAUGCGUAGCGGACCUGAGAGGGUGGUCGGCCACACUGGGACUGAGGCACGGCACAGACUCCUACGGGAGGCAGCAGUAGGGAAUCUUCCGCAAUGGACGAAAGUCUGACGGAGCAACGCCGCGUGAGUGAUGAAGGCUUUCGGGUCGUAAAACUCUGUUGUUAGGGAAGAACAAGUGCUAGUUGAAUAAGCUGGCACCUUGACGGUACCUAACCAGAAAGCCACGGCUAACUACGUGCCAGCCGCCGCAGUAA
rnacentral:rRNA from 1 species